UCCCGGCGUGGUGGCGCACGCCUGUAGUCCCAGCUCCUCAGGAGGCUGAGGUGGGAGGAUCGCUUGAGUCCAGGAGUUCUGGGCUGCAGUGUGCUAUGCCGGUCGGGUGUCCACACUAAGUUCGGCGUCAAUAUGGUGACUUCCCGGGAGAGGAGUGGGGGACCGCCAGGUUGCCUAAGGAGGGGUGAACCGGCCCAGGUCAGAAACGGAGCAGGUCAAAACUCCCGUACUGAUCAGUAGUGGGAUCGCGCCUGUGAAUAGCCAUUGCACUCCAGCCUGGGCAAUAUAGUGAGACCCUGUCUCU
rnacentral:SRP_RNA from 1 species